GCCCGGACCGCGGGCGGCGGACUCGGUCGCUAUGGCAACGCGGCGGGGCUGGGCGUCGCCCGGGGCCGGCGUUCCCGCUGCCGCCAUGGUGCAGCUGUGCUCGCAGUCGGCCAUGAACGAGCUGCUGUCGCGCAAGGAGGAGGAGUGGAGGGCGCUGCAGGCGCAGCGUGCCCGGCUGCAGGAGGCGGCCGUGCAGGAGGCGCAGGGCCGGCUGCGGCGCCUGCAGGAGGACUUCAUCUACAACCUGCAGGUGCUGCAGGAGCGGGACAGUGAGCUGGAGCGCUGUGACGCCGCCUUGGCCCAGGCCCGCGGCCGGGAGGAGGCCCGGCAGGCCGAGCUGAGCGAGCUCAAGAUAGAGGUGGCCAAGCUGCGGCAGGCGCUCGCUGUGGAGGCCCGGCAGCGCGAGGAGCUGCAGCGGCAGCACCAGCUGAUGCAGCAGGAGCAUCGCCUGGAGCUGGAGCGAGUGCACAGUGACAGGAAUGGCGAGGUUGAACACCAUCGGGAACAGUAUGAAAGUCUGAAGUGGAAGCUGCAGAGAAAACUCGAGGAGCUCGACGGGGAGCUUGCUCUGCAGAGACAGGAACUGCGGCUGGAGUUUGAAGCCGAGAUGCAGAAGCGGGAGCACGCAUUCCGUCAGCAGGCCGAUGACAUGGGCCACGUGGUCUUGUCCCAUGAGCUCAAGGUCAAGCUGCUGAGCAAAGAGCUUGAGGCCAGGACAGAGGCCGGAGCGCGGGCCGCAGAGCGCUUGCAGAGGGCAGAGUCGGCCAGCGCGGCCUUGGAGAGGGAGCUGCAGGCCCGCACCUGGGAGCUCCGAGACCUGGAGGCCGUGAAGGACGCCCGGAUAAAGGACUUGGAGGACGAGCUCCACGCUGUGCAGCUCACCAGGAGGAAAGAAGAGGAAGUGUUUGAGAGGAAGCACGAGGAGCUCGACCGGCUGGCCAGGGAGAGGGACGCGGUGCUGGGAGCAGUGAAGGGCGCCCACGGGGAGCAGCUGCGUGGCCUGGAGGCCAGGAUCCGGGAGCUGCAGGCCCACUGCGAGAACCUGGAGGUGCAGCUACGCCGGGCGGAGUGGGCGCAGGCCGACGCUGCGCGGGAGCGGGACGCCACGAUCGACAAGCUUCGCGAGGACUCCUCGGCUCUCAAGUCUGCCUGGGACGCCCAGGUUGCCCAGCUGUCCAAGGAGAUGGUCUCCAAAGACCUGCAGGUCCAGGCGCUGCGGGAGGAGGACCUGAAACUGAAGGCUCAGCUGGCGAGGGCCCAGCAGGACACUGAGAGGUACAAGCAGCAGCUGUCCCUGGCAGUGGCGAGGGAGCAGAGCCUGGAGCGUGACCAGGUACAGCUGGGCCUGGACUGGCAGCGCCGCUGUGAGGCCAUCGAGCGGGACCAGAUCCAGAGGUCAGAGGCUUUGAUCGAGGGCCUGACCACGGCAAAAGCUCAGGCGGCUGCCAAGCUCCAGGAGACAGAGCGGGUGCUGCGAGAGCAGGAGGCGGUGCUGCGAGCUGUGGUCCAGGAGCGGGACCAGGCGCUGGAGGCGCUGAGGACACACGGGCUCCCGCCGGGACAGGAGGCACAGGUGCUCUUCAGGCAGCUUGAAGAAGGGGUGAGCGGAGGCCUCGCGUCCAGUGAGAUCCAGCGGCUGCAGGAGCAGAACGCGAGCUUACGCAACAUCGUUGCCCAGAUGCGGGCGGAGAUGGAAGCCCUGGGCCGCCAGGUUCUUCCCUCAGUGCAGCUAGGAGCCACCUCAGAGACUGAGCAGCCCGAUCCCAAGGCAGGAGAGGCAGGCACUCCUGGUUAUGUUCUGGCCCUUGAAGCGGAAGUACGAGACCUAAAGCACAGAUUUAAGACCCUGGAAGGACAGCUGGAGGGUGUGCUGGAGCCCUCGAAGGCGCCCGUGUCUGACAGCGACACUCAGCCCCUCGUCCACACCGCGGCGGAGGCUCCCGGAGGCUGUGUCCACACCGGCCCCGUGUGCGCUGGGCUGGCCCUCAGGAAGCUCGGAGACCGAGCGCGUCUCUUGAACGUGCUGGUGACGCGGCUGAGACGGAAGGUGCUGUCGAAACCCCUGGAGCUGCACAUCGUCCAGGGUGAGCUUCCCCGAGAAGUGGACCAGGUGCACCUGGAGGUCCUGGAGCUGCGGAAGCAGGUGGCCGAGCUGGGGCAGCACCUGGGGACAGCCCAGCAGGAAGGAGUGGGACCUUCCGGCGGGAAGCAGCCGUGCACCUGCAGCCCCGGGGCCUUCCACAGAGAGCCAGGGCCACAGACCCCACAGGCCUUGUCUGUGCACCGACUCCAGAAGAAACUAAAGGAAGCAGCCAGAACAAUCCUGAGCCUGCGCCUGGAGAAGGAGCAGCUCAUCGAGAUGGGGAACAGGCUCCGCGCUGAGCUGGGCCGCCCCAAAGGGCAACCGCUGCCUCAUCCCCCUCUCCCGGCCCCUGGGACCCGGCCCCCCCGAGAGGCGCCCGAGCUGCCUGUGGACCGUGGCUGGCCGCUGGGACAGGUGCAGCCCCAUCUCACGGCGCAGGAAGCGUCUUGCCUCUGUAGUCGUGGAAGAUGUCCGAUGGCCAGUUAUUUUCCUCCCUUUGUGGGUCACGGUGCACGCGUGCUCCUUGCUGGCUGUGCCGCUGCUGGCUUGGUUCACCCAGGAAGGCGGCUGCUGCCUGUCUGUCUCGGACCUGCCCAGACUUACCUUCUCCUUCUCAAGUCCCCAGGGGACGUUUCCAGUGUCACGGACGUGGCCUCUGCUGGGAGGUCUGCCUAACCAGAUCUGGAGGGCUGGUCGGUCACUCUAGCCAUUUCCUCCCUGCCACGGAUGGCCUGUGGCACAUGGCUGGGGGUUCCUGUCCCUCACCCCAGGCCAGGCUGGCACCCUCAGCGGCGCCCACACGGGCGUCCACCCAGGCCCGUGCUCUGCCGACUCAGGUACUGGGUGCUGGACACAGGGUCUGUGCCUGGGGCCCCACGCUGUUCCAGGAAGUUCCCUGUCCCUGGGCCGCGGCCACGCUGCUUUACCUGCCAGGCCCUUGGGAAGCAUUGCUCUGUCUCGCAGUGCGCCUGCCCCGAUUCUGUGCCUUGCAGGAUGGUCAUGGCUGUGCUCUUUAUUUAUUCUUGACGGGAUGGAGUUUGACUUUGAGAGAGACCUCCCAUCGGCUGGUCCUCUCGCCAGCUGCCUACAGGGACCAGGGCUGAGCUAGGCCCAAAGCCAGGAGCGGGAAAUUCAUCGGGGUCCCGCGUGGGCCGUCACAGCUGCCUCCUGGAGUGUACGUUAGGGGGCUGGCGGCAGGAGCAGGCUGGGAAAGAACCCGUGUUGUGGUCACCGGGCUGAAUGCAAGUCCUGUGGGGUGGGGUUCGUUUGCUUGUUGUUUCUAUUGCAAACGUGCAGACUUCCAAGAAGCAAAGGCUCACACAGCGGUGUGGGGCCGUGUCCGGCCCGGGUGCUCCCCUCCCUCCCCUCUUCAGACUGCCUGUGUCUCAGUGGAGGUGCGUGUGAGCUGGACGUGUGUUGUCUCCCCCAAGUUCUGGACAUAGCUCCAGGUUAGGACUGACUGUUUCGUGAAAGGCUGGAGGGCAAACGUUUGAGGCUGUAAGAGCCACACGGGGGCCGGCACUGUGGCAUCAUGGGUAAGGCCACCACCUGCAACACCAGCAUCCCACGGGGCGCCAGCUGGAGUCCUGGCUGCUCCACUUCCGAUCCAGCUCCCUGCUAAUGGCCUGGGAAAGCAGUGGAGGACGGCCCCAAUGCUUGGGCCCCUGCACCCCUGUGGGAGACCCGGAAGAAGCUCCUGGCUCCCGGCUUCAGGUCGGCCCAGCUCUGGCCAUUGUGGCCAUCUGGGGAGUGAACCAGCAGAUGGAAGACCUCUCUUUGUGUCUCUCCCUCUCUCUCUGUAGCUCUGCCUUUAAAAUAAUAAAUAUUUUAUAUAAAUAAAUAGACAGAUACAUAAACAAACAAUUUUUUUGUCCAUGGAGCUUCUAUUUGUGUGUCACAGCCCUGCCGGGUGUUCUCGCCACGCUGGUGCCAGCUGAGGUCAGUACAGUGAAACCAAACUGGUGGGCGGGAGCAGACUAUUCUGCCAUUUUUCUAGGUCUUUCAACUGUGCGCCAAAUCGGGGCUGUCACCCUGCACUCGUUCACCUGCCAGUGAGGUGCCCGGCGAUCUUCCCAGCUCCGUGAUCAGUGAUCAGAUUCGCCAGGGUAGCCACGCUUCGCCGUCACGGUUAGAAACCUGACAAGGACUUUGGAGAACCUGGCGUUUGCCUCUUUUCUCUUGAGAGCAUCGGCCAGGACGUUCACGCACACCAUCGUAGCGGCGUGGAACGAUGGCAGAAAGAGAGAAAUGAAAUUAAAAAGGGCCACCCGGUGCUGCCGUGAGAUCUGAGCUGCGUGCAGUGUGCGAGCCGCGGCAGCAGCAGGCAGAGAGCGAGCUUCAGUCCGCUGGUUCACCCCGCAGAUGACCUCAGCACUGGGUCUGGGCAAGACGGAAGCCAGGCGCGUCCUCCG